CCGGGAAUCUUCCGCAAUGGGGGAAACCCUGACGGAGCGACGCCGCGUGAGGGAAGAAGCCCUUCGGGGUGUAAACCUCUUUUCUCGGGGAAGAAGUUCUGACGGUACCCGAGGAAAAAGCCCCGGCUAACUACGUGCCAGCAGCCGCGGUAAGACGUAGGGGGCGAGCGUUGUCCGGAUUUACUGGGCGUAAAGGGCGUGUAGGCGGCUUAGCAAGUCAGAUGUGGAAGCCCCGGGCUCAACUCGGGGAGGUCAUCUGAUACUGCUAAGCUAGAGGGCAGGAGAGGAGAGCGGAACUUCCGGUGUAGCGGUGAAAUGCGUAGAUAUCGGAAGGAACGCCGGUGGCGAAGGCGGCUCUCUGGACUGUCCCUGACGCUGAGGCGCGAAAGCUAGGGGAGCGAACGGGAUUAGAUACCCCGGUAGUCCUAGCCGUAAACGAUGGGCACUAGGUGUGGGGAGUUAGACUCUCCGUGCUGCAGCUAACGCGAUAAGUGCCCCGCCUGGGGAGUACGCCGCAAGGCUA
rnacentral:rRNA from 1 species